rnacentral:rRNA from 1 species
CUCAAAUGAAUUGACGGGGGCCCGCACAAGCGGUGGAGCAUGUGGUUUAAUUCGAUGCAACGCGAAGAACCUUACCUGGUCUUGACAUCCACAGAACUUUCCAGAGAUGGAUUGGUGCCUUCGGGAACUGUGAGACAGGUGCUGCAUGGCUGUCGUCAGCUCGUGUUGUGAAAUGUUGGGUUAAGUCCCGCAACGAGCGCAACCCUUAUCCUUUGUUGCCAGCGGUUCGGCCGGGAACUCAAAGGAGACUGCAGUGAUAAACUGGAGGAAGGUGGGGAUGACGUCAAGUCAUCAUGGCCCUUACGACCAGGGCUACACACGUGCUACAAUGGCAUAUACAAAGAGAAGCGACCUCGCGAGAGCAAGCGGACCUCAUAAAGUAUGUCGUAGUCCGGAUUGGAGUCUGCAACUCGACUCCAUGAAGUCGGAAUCGCUAGUAAUCGUAGAUC